GGCUUAAUGGUCUAGAGGUAUGAUUCUCGCUUUGGGUUAUAAAAAACUUGGCAUGCGAGAGGUCCUGGGUUCGAUUCCCAGUUGAGCCC
rfam:Nadsonia fulvescens var. elongata DSM 6958 unplaced genomic scaffold NADFTscaffold_2, whole genome shotgun sequence.